GACGAACGCUGGCGGCGUGCCUAACACAUGCAAGUCGAGCGAGUGAAUCUCCUUCGGGAGUGAAGCUAGCGGCGGACGGGUGAGUAACACGUGGGCAACCUGCCUCAUAGAGGGGAAUAGCCUUUCGAAAGGAAGAUUAAUACCGCAUAAGAUUGUAGCUUCGCAUGAAGUAGCAAUUAAAGGAGCAAUCCGCUAUGAGAUGGGCCCGCGGCGCAUUAGCUAGUUGGUGAGGUAACGGCUCACCAAGGCGACGAUGCGUAGCCGACCUGAGAGGGUGAUCGGCCACAUUGGGACUGAGACACGGCCCAGACUCCUACGGGAGGCAGCAGUGGGGAAUAUUGCACAAUGGGGGAAACCCUGAUGCAGCAACGCCGCGUGAGUGAUGACGGCCUUCGGGUUGUAAAGCUCUGUCUUCAGGGACGAUAAUGACGGUACCUGAGGAGGAAGCCACGGCUAACUACGUGCCAGCCGCCGCCGUAAUAC
rnacentral:rRNA from 1 species